rnacentral:rRNA from 1 species
UACGUAGGGUCCGAGCGUUGUCCGGAAUUACUGGGCGUAAAGAGCUCGUAGGUGGUUUGUCGCGUUGUUCGUGAAAACUCACAGCUCAACUGUGGGCGUGCGGGCGAUACGGGGCAGACUUGAGUACUGCAGGGGAGACUGGAAUUCCUGGUGUAGCGGUGGAAUGCGCAGAUAUCAGGAGGAACACCAAUAGCGAAGGCAGCUCGCUGGGACGUUACUGACACUGAGGCGCGAAAGCGUGGGGAGCGAACAGG